UCCUGGGUGUCAACAGAUAGAUUGUUCAACAGAGCUAGAUUGAGAUAAACGUUUACAGCCUGAUGUCACCAUCAACCUCUAAACCAGGGUUCUGAGAAGAAGAAAAUAACAUGGAAAUAUUGGAGCUGUUGUCACUUGCUUGCAUUGUUGGGAUCUCACAAGUUGCACCAUGCAGAGACGGUCAGCACUGUUCAGACUGUAGUAACAUCUCGGGACAGUGUCUCACACA